rnacentral:lncRNA from 1 species
GAAAGAUAAUCCUCUUUAAUUAAGGUUUGACCUUAAUUCCAAUUGUGUUGGACUUUGAAAUUAUAAAAAACUUUAGAAAUUAUCAGAGUCUGUGAAUACAGUCUAUGUGUUCAACUUAAGUAAAGAUCUUUGUUUUACCUUAAGGCAGGUGCCAACCUUCUGCUUUAGAAUAAGACAGGUCAGAGAGAAUAAUUUUCCUGCCAUUCUCCAAUACUAUCUCUCUAUUCUCAACAUCCUGAUCUAAGUUCUGCCAGCUUGCUUCCGGUCGCGUGCAGGUUAAACAAACAGGAAUAUGGUGGCUGACUCAAAGUCCUGGAGGUGGCUGGGAUGAUGGGCAGGUACAAACAGCCAGGCUGUCCUGGGAGAAGGAGGAGUAGUUGCCUAAAGAGUAAAUUUCUCAAGGCCUCUGAUAGCUGAGUGGAAUGACUACUAUGUGGCAUGAAGAAAUAGGCAUGUUACAUUUUCCAUCUGUUGAUUUGCAAGUCAUCACUGAAAUGGGGAAUCUAAUUUCACUGGAAGAUGUUCUGAGACUUCAAUACUAUGAAACGGAUAUAUGUGUUAUCAUGGGACUUCUACCAUGGCCCCAAGGCAGAUUUCUGAAAGGUUUCUAUUGCAUAUUCUACUCUUGCUUCAGGUUUGGAAUUCCUAGGAAUCUGCACACUUGAUCACAGAAGACCCUUUGCCCUAAAUGUUGUGUUUCUGAAUUCAAGUAAAUAAUGGUUAAAGGAGACUAAAAUUGAAAGUUAAUUUAAUUCAAUACAACAGCAGACUAUAUAGACUGUCAAAUUUCUCUGUCACUGUUGCAAUGUUUUACUCAAGCUGAACCACGUGCAUUUGAGACACAGAUUUAUGUCAAUUAAAAUUUAUUCCAAAACAGGUGUGAGAAACACCAAGGGAAGAUUAAAUAAAUGUGCAAGUAAGUUUCUAGGUGUUCUUGUU